CAAUAGCGUAUAUUAAAGUUGUUGCGGUUAAAAAGCUCGUAGUUGGAUUUCUGCCGAGGACGACCGGUCCGCCCUCUGGGUGAGUAUCUGGCUCGGCCUGGGCAUCUUCUUGGAGAACGUAGCUGCACUUGACUGUGUGGUGCGGCAUCCAGGACUUUUACUUUGAGGAAAUUAGAGUGUUUCAAGCAGGCUUACGCCUUGAAUACAUUAGCAUGGAAUAAUAAGAUAGGACCUCGGUUCUAUUUUGUUGGUUUCUAGAGCUGAGGUAAUGAUUAAUAGGGAUAGUUGGGGGCAUUCGUAUUUAACUGUCAGAGGUGAAAUUCUUGGAUUUGUUAAAGACGGACUACUGCGAANGNAUUUGCNAAGGAUGUUUNCAUUG
rnacentral:rRNA from 1 species